CAAAAUGGAAAAAUAAUCAAAAAAAUAAUCUAGGAAAAAUUAUGACUCUUCUUGAAUUGCAAUGCAGGUCUUACAGCAUCUCAUACUGGCAUAAAAUAGUCAAAAAUUCUGAGGGAAUUAAUCAUUCAUGCAAAAAAGUCAAUCUUAAGUUUAACAAGGUUUUUAUGAGGAGGAAUGAGAGCACCAAUCUGUUUUCAAGGAGUAUUCCAUGCAUGCUCAGAUUUAGGUUAGGAGAUUUGGCUGGCCAAUCCAGUUGAUCAGUUCUCUAUUCAUUGAGAUAUUUAUCUGCAAGACGAUGUUUUGUGUGGAUAGAUAUUAUUAUCCACCAAUACGAAUUCUGAAUUCACUAACCUGAACAUGGAAUAACAUAUGGUUCAAGGAUCUCAUUUCUAUAAUGAAAUAUGCA
rnacentral:lncRNA from 1 species